UCAUUUCAUAAAUUACAUUUAGUUCACUUGUUCAUAAUUCACUUGCAUAUAAUCACAUUUCAUUCUCUUAUAAUUCAUGUAGUGGGCCAAAUUUGCCCGGCCCGUUACAAACAACGAUAAUAAAGCUAAAAUAAAAAAUAUCCAAAUAUUAAAUCGAAGUCCAAUCACAUAGCCCAAAUUCAAAACUCAAUACGAGCCCAAAUUAACUCAUACCCAAAGUUACAUUGGCCCAAACGGUCCGAAACAUUUUAGGAACAGAAACCCUAAGGUUUUGUUCCCCUUUUACGCCGCAGCCCCAAUCGCCAGCUACCUCCGUACGCCAGC
rnacentral:lncRNA from 1 species